UACUACUCACAGAAUGGAAAAGACUGA
rnacentral:piRNA from 1 species